CAGCACUAAGUGGGUGGUAAACUCCAUCUAAAACUAAAUAUAACCAUGAGACCGAUAGCAAACAAGUACCGUGAGGGAAAGUUGAAAAGAACUCUGAAUAGAGAGUUAAAUAGUACGUGAAACUGCUUAGAGGUUAAGCCCGAUGAACCUGAAUAUCCGUUGUAGAAAAUUCAUCAUUAAUUGUAUGAUAUUUUUAGUUAAAUAUUAUAUCAAUAGUGUGCACUUUUUCUACUUAAGGACAUUGUAAUCCGUUAAUGUUUAAAUGCGUAUUAUAAGAACAUUUACAAUAGUUUUAACAUUUAUUUGGACUUGUUUUGAAUAUAUGUUUUAAUGUAAAUGCUUCGAAUAUGCCAUUGACGGAUUCUUACGUAUAUUGCACUUAAAUCUUUUUGAUUUUAUAAUAGUAUGAUUAUCAUUGAUUUUUGUAUUUAUUAUAUGUGCAUAUAUGAUUGACAAUGCGAAAGAUUCAGGAUACCUUCGGGACCC
rnacentral:rRNA from 1 species